AUCCAGCUGACGAGUCCUACCAAAUAGGAAGAAACAUACGUCCUGGAU
rfam:Schistosoma curassoni strain Dakar, Senegal genome assembly, scaffold: SCTD_scaffold0006496